rnacentral:rRNA from 1 species
GACAGAGGGGGCAAGCGUUGCUCGGAAUCACUGGGCGUAAAGGGCUCGUAGGCGGCCAACUAAGUCCGACGUGAAAUCCCCAGGCUUAACCUGGGAACUGCGUCGGAUACUGGAUGGCUUGAAUUCGGGAGAGGGAUGCAGAAUUCCAGGUGUAGCGGUGAAAUGCGUAGAUAUCUGGAGGAAUACCGGUGGCGAAGGCGGCAUCCUGGACCGACAUUGACGCUGAGGCGCGAAAGCUAGGGGAGCAAACGGG